AGUGAACGCUGGCGGUAGGCCUAACACAUGCCAGUCGAACGGCAGCACAGUAAGAGCUUGCUCUUACGGGUGGCGAGUGGCGGACGGGUGAGGAAUACAUCGGAAUCUACUUUUUCGUGGGGGAUAACGUAGGGAAACUUACGCUAAUACCGCAUACGACCUACGGGUGAAAGCAGGGGAUCUUCGGACCUUGCGCGAUUGAAUGAGCCGAUGUCGGAUUAGCUAGUUGGCGGGGUAAAGGCCCACCAAGGCGACGAUCCGUAGCUGGUCUGAGAGGAUGAUCAGCCAAAUGGGAACUGAGACACGGUCCAGACCCCCACGGGAGGCAGGAGGGGGGAAUUUUGGAAAAUGGGGGAAAGCCUGAUCCAGCCAAACCGGGGGGGUGAAGAAGGCCUUCGGGUUGUAAAGCCCUUUUUUUGGGAAAAAAAAGCAGCAGGUUAAUACCCCGCUGUUCUGGCGGUACCCAAAGAAAAAGCACCGGCUAACUGCGU
rnacentral:rRNA from 1 species